CCUACGGGAGGCAGCAGUAAGGAAUAUUGGACAAUGCUCGCAAGAGUGAUCCAGCCAUGCCGCGUGCAGGAAGAAUGCCCUAUGGGUAGUAAACUGCUUUUGAACUAGAGAAGACCCCAGUACGUGUACUGGGCUGAUAGUAUAGUUAGAAUAAGCAUCGGCUAACUUCGUGCCAGCAGCCGCGGUAAGACGAAGGAUGCAAGCGUUAUCCGGAUUCAUUGGGUUUAAAGGGAGCGUAGGUGGACUGAUAAGUCAGUGGUGAAAUCUCCGAGCUUAACUCGGAAAUUGCCAUUGAUACUGUUGGUCUUGAGUACAGUUGCUGUGGGCGGAAUAUGACAUGUAGUGGUGAAAUACAUAGAGAUGUCAUAGAACACCGAUUGCGAAGGCAGCUCACAAAGCUGUAACUGACACUGAGGCUCGAAAGUGCGGGGAUCAAACAGGAUUAGAUACCUGGUAGUCCGCACCGUAAACGAUGAUUACUCGCUGCGUAGGGGCUAACCGUUUAGUGGCUUAGCGAAAGCGANAAGUAACNCCACGNGGAGACGCGCGACGAGAACGACGAAGAAGUAGACGGCGNGAGAGNGACGACGGACGACGACGAGGGAGGAGG
rnacentral:rRNA from 1 species